CCGGUUUUAGUUUACUUUACGUUUAGGGUCGGACGGGUAGGNGGUAACGCGUGGGUAACCUGCCCUGUACAGGGGGAUAACACUUAGAAAUAGGUGCUAAAACCGCAUAAGCGCACAGUACCGCAUGGUACAGUGUGAAAAACUCCGGUGGUACAGGAUGGACCCGCGUCUGAUUAGCUGGUUGGAGGGGUAACGGCCCACCAAGGCGACGAUCAGUAGCCGGCCUGAGAGGGUGAACGGCCACAUUGGGACUGAGACACGGCCCAAACUCCUACGGAAGGCAGCAG
rnacentral:rRNA from 1 species